UUCUUGUAAGGACAAAACGGGAC
rnacentral:piRNA from 1 species